AUCAGCAUCAGCAUAGAGGUGGAGUUCAGUCUGUAUUUGCCACAGUUUCACCUUGGAUUCUUGAAUGCUAGGGCUAUCUCCUGGAAUUUACUUGGAACGCCUAAAUCAAGUGUGUAUCUGGGCAUAUAGGGAGUUUCUUAUGUUUCCCCACUGAACAGCCACAGUCAUCCCUACCUGUUAAAGGGAUAGAUUGAAUUUCCAGAUAGGAAUGUGGGAAGCUGCCUUGAAUCAGCUCACUAGCCCAUCUAACCCAGUCUUGCCAAGUGGCUUCAAACAGGACUGUCUCCGAGUUCUAUCUGGGUAUUCUAGCACUGCUUGGUAGCUCUUAUUCCAAGUACUAACCAGGUGAGACCCUGCUUAGCUUCCAAACCAAACCUUCAGGGUGGUACAGUGGUUCAAAAUGGUGGGCUCGUGUAAGAUUUAGUUGGAACUUCUCAUACCCAAAGCAAGAAUCAAUGGGUAGUCAUGAAUGGGCUAUCAACACUAGAAUCUUGGCAACCUUUUCCUUAUAAUGUCCUUAUUGGCCAAAUCUUAAAUUUGCACCCUUGACCUGAGGCAGGCUCCUCUCAGUAAUGGAUAUACAUCCAUCCUGUGACUUCAUUUCUGCUGCUACUGCUGCCUAACAACGCUCCAAUAGCCCAGCCCCCCUUUUUUUCUGCUGAUGUCAUAAUCUACAAAUUUGCAGGCCAGUGCUCAUCCUUUCAGAUGGAGAGGUGGGGGGCCACUUGCAUAGAGGCCUCCCAGGGGAAAGCAUCUGGGAACUUCAAAGGACUGGGGGGCCCCAGCCCUGUCCAGGAUUAUAAACUGGUGUUUGGUGGCCGUAGAAGCGCAUCUGCUCUUGUACCAGGAUAAUCAACAAGACCUUAAACUUUGUCCUUGAGCUCCACUCUGUCCUAGUGAUGAUCACAUCUCCAGAGAAUGCACAGAGGAAGGACCCACAGAAUGACCCUGUCAAAGAACAGGCCUCUGGUCGCGAUGCUCCAUUGCCUGGCAAACUGUGGAGGGCGCUUCAAAGGGCUGAAGACAAUAUGUUAAGCAUAGCACUAAUCUUCGAAGACGAGUUUGAGCAGGUGACCUGCAUCUGGCAGCAAGUGGCUCUAUAGCAGGGAAGAGGUGGCUGUAGUGUUCCCUGUCUGAACCCAUACCCCCCAAACAACUCGUGCAACGUUCUGGCCAGAUUAAAUCGUGGAGAUGGGCAAGUCAUGUUGGACGUGUCCCGGGUGCCUGCUCCUUGAGGCUGCUGAAGAUAGCCCAGUACAGGCCAUUGCUUUUGCUUGUGAUAGCCAGUGAAUCUUAGUGUAGGGAAGCGAGAGACCCAGACUAUUGCACUGAGAAUGUACUGUAUGCAAUGUAGCAGAGUGUACCCCCUUCAGCAGGUCUCGGGUUCAGGACCCAGCAUCUCCAGUCAAAAGGAUCAGCUGGCUGGAAGGGGCUGAACUAGCAAGUGGCUACCAGCCCUAGGAAAUAGUAGUGGCUUAAUGAACCAACGGCAUACCAGCCAGUAGAAGACAGCUUCCUGUAUUCAUAUGUCAAAUCCAGUGUUAGAAGCAGGUAGUUAGUAUGAGUACCUUACUUUUGGGAGAACAAGUAUUGUAAUAAAUUGUUACAAAGUUAUAGUAAAAGUAGUCUA
rnacentral:lncRNA from 1 species